AACGCGAAGAACCUUACCUACUCUUGACAUCCAGAGAACUUAGCAGAGAUGCUUUGGUGCCUUCGGGAACUCUGAGACAGGUGCUGCAUGGCUGUCGUCAGCUCGUGUUGUGAAAUGUUGGGUUAAGUCCCGCAACGAGCGCAACCCUUAUCCUUUGUUGCAGCGGUUCGGCCAGGAACUCAAAGGAGACUGCCAGUGAUAAACUGGAGGAAGGUGGGGAUGACGUCAAGUCAUCAUGGCCCUUACGAGUAGGGCUACACACGUGCUACAAUGGCAUAUACAAAGAGAAGCGACCUCGCGAGAGCAAGCGGACCUCAUAAAGUAUGUCGUAGUCCGGAUUGGAGUCUGCAACUCAACUCCAUGAAGUCGGAAUCGCUAGUAAUCGUAGAUCAGAAUGCUACGGUGAAUACGUUCCCGGGUCUUGUACACACCG
rnacentral:rRNA from 1 species